UAAAAUUUUAUUUUUUUAAUAAUAAUAAUAAUUUUAUUUUGGUUAAAAAAUUAUGUAUAAUUUAUAUUUAUAUGGGAAUUUUUGUAUUUUAAAUAAUAAAUUAUUCAGUAAAUAAUAUUAAAAAUUAAGUAAUUUUAGAUUUAGAUAUAAUUGUAAUUUAAACUAAAUUUGUGCCAGCAGUUGCGGUUAUACAAAUUAAGUAAUAUAAUUUUAUUAGUAAAAAUUAACUAAAUAAUGAUAAUUUAAAUUAAAAUUUAUAUUAUUAGGUGAAAUUUUUAAUAUAAUAUAUGAUUUAUAAUAUUUUUGUGAAGUUUAGAAAAUUUUUAAAAACUAGGAUUAGAUACCCUAUUAUAUUAUUGUAAAUUUAAAAACUAAAUUAGUAAAAGUUAAGUUCUAAAAAAUUAAAAAAUUUGGCGGUAUUUUAGUCUAUUCAGAGGAAUCUGCUCUUUAAUCGAUAAUCCACGAUAAAUUUAAUUUAUAUUAGAAAUUUAUAUAUCAUUGUAAAAGAAUAUUUUAAUAGAAAUUUAAUGUUCUUAAUUUGUUUUUAUAAAAAAAAUCAAAUCAAGGUGUAGUUUAUAUAUAAAGAGAAGUGGAUUACAAUUUAAAAUAUAAUUGGAUUAAAAUUUGAAAUUUAAUUUUAUAAAAAUGGAUUUGAUAGUAAUUUGAAAUAUUUAUUUUAAAUGAUUUAGCUCUAAAAUAUGCACAUAUUGCCCGUCGCUUUCAUUACAAAGUGGAAUAAGUCGUAACAAAGUAAGUGUACUGGAAAGUGUACUUAGAAGAAA
rnacentral:ncRNA from 1 species